AUUGAACGCUGGCGGCAGGCUUAACACAUGCAAGUCGAGCGAGCGGCGGACGGGUGAGUAAUGUCUGGGAAACUGCCUUAUGGAGGGGGAUCACUACUGGAAACGGUAGCUAAUACCGCAUACCAUCAGAUGUGCCCAGCUGGGAUUAGCGAGUAGGUGGGGUAAGGGCUCACCUAGGGGACGAUCCCUAGCUGGUCUGAGAGGAUGACAAGCAACACUGGAACUGUGAACCGGUCCAGCCUCCUACGGGGGGCAGCAGUGGGGAUUAUUGCAAAAUGGGCGAAAGCCUGAAGCAGCCAUGCCGCGUGUGUGAAGAAGGCCUUCGGGUUGUAAAGCACUUUCAGCGAGUAGGCGUUACUCGCAGAAGAAGCACCGGCUAACUCCGUGCCAGCAGCCGCGGUAAUU
rnacentral:rRNA from 1 species